rnacentral:rRNA from 1 species
UACGGAGGGUGCAAGCGUUACUCGGAAUCACUGGGCGUAAAGGGUGCGUAGGCGGCGCAGUUAGUCAGAAGUGAAAUAUCGGGGCUUAACCCCGGGGCUGCUUCUGAUACUGCUGUGCUCGAGUGCAGGAGAGGUAAGUGGAAUUCCUAGUGUAGCGGUGAAAUGCGUAGAUAUUAGGAGGAACACCAGUGGCGAAGGCGACUUACUGGACUGUAACUGACGCUGAGGCACGAAAGCGUGGGUAGCAAACAGG